rnacentral:tRNA from 1 species
GGAAUUGUGCCUGAAUACCUAAGGACCUCUUUGAUAGAGUGGCCAAUGGGGGCUAAAUUCCCCCCAAUUCCC